CUCAUUUGCAGCGAUUAAUUUCCCAGUGCUUCUCAUUGAUGAUUUCAGUACACCGGAAAAGAACCAAUCAUUCUCUAACGAGAGACGAAGAAUCAGGAGUACAAAUGGAGAGAAGAAGCAUUUAGGAAAGGCUUCCCUUGCUUACCAACCACAUGAAACAAGAUGAGCAAGAAGAACUUGAGCUAGAGGCAAAGGUCAACUGACGUGUUUUCUAUGUACCAUGAAGAUAGUAAAACUGAUGCAAUUUUAGUUGCAAUGGUUCUCGGUCAUGUACUAAAAUGGCCAUCUCAUGUUAUGUAACAUUUGAUAUGCAUGCAAGUGGAUCAGAAGGACCCAGAAAAUGGAUACCUUGCUGAAAUCCAUUUUCACCAUUAUAUUCAGAUGUGGGUGUGUAUUGCCAGAUAAAGUUAAUGUUGGCUUUA